rnacentral:misc_RNA from 1 species
UCCCGAUUGGCUCGGGCAGUCUCGUUUGAAAAAUACAACAAACGAUAAGGGUUGCGCUCGUUGCGGGACUUAACCCAACAUCUCUCGACACGAGCUGACGACGGCCAUGCAGCACCUGUCACCAGGUUCCCGAAGGCACUCCACUAUUUCUAGCGGAUUCCUGGGAUGUCAAGCCUUGGUAAGGUUCUUCGCGUAGCUUCGAAUUAAAUCACAUGCUCCACUGCUUGUGCGGGUCCCCGUCAAUUCCUUUGAGUUUUAAGCUUGCGCUCGUACUCCCCAGGCGGGAUGCUUAACGCGUUAGCUUCUCAGCACAGAGGGUCGAUACUCCAUACUAAUAGCAUCCAUCGUUUACGGCGUGGACUAC